rnacentral:rRNA from 1 species
GAUCUUGGUUCAGGAUGAACGCUGGCGGCGUGCUUAACACAUGCAAGUCGAACGGAGCUUAGAAGGAAGCUUGCUUCAUUAAGCUUAGUGGCAGACGGGUGAGUAACGCGUGAGCAACCUGCCCUCGAGUGGGGAAUAACAUCGAGAAAUCGGUGCUAAUACCGCAUAAUGUCGAGAGACCGCAUGACCUUUCGACCAAAGGAUUUAUUCGCUUGAGGAUGGGCUCGCGUCCGAUUAGCUAGUUGGUGAGGUAACGGCCCACCAAGGCAACGAUCGGUAGCCGAACUGAGAGGUUGAUCGGCCACAUUGGGACUGAGACACGGCCCAGACUCCUACGGGAGGCAGCAGUGGGGAAUAUUGGGCAAUGGGCGAAAAAGCCUGACCCAGCAACGCCGCGUGAAGGAUGAAGGUCUUCGGAUUGUAAACUUCUUUGAUUGGGGAAGAAUAAAAUGACCUACCCAAAGAACAAGCCACGGCUAACUACGUGCCAGCCGCGGC